UUUUCAUCAGACAAUCUGUGUGAGCACUGCAAAGUACGCUUCUUUAAGGUAAGGAGGUGAUCCAACCGCAGGUUCCCCUACGGUUACCUUGUUACGACUUCACCCCAGUCAUGAAUCACAAAGUGGUAAGCGCCCUCCCGAAGGUUAAGCUACCUACUUCUUUUGCAACCCACUCCCAUGGUGUGACGGGCGGUGUGUACAAGGCCCGGGAACGUAUUCACCGUGGCAUUCUGAUCCACGAUUACUAGCGAUUCCGACUUCAUGGAGUCGAGUUGCAGACUCCAAUCCGGACUACGACGCACUUUAUGAGGUCCGCUUGCUCUCGCGAGGUCGCUUCUCUUUGUAUGCGCCAUUGUAGCACGUGUGUAGCCCUGGUCGUAAGGGCCAUGAUGACUUGACGUCAUCCCCACCUUCCUCCAGUUUAUCACUGGCAGUCUCCUUUGAGUUCCCGGCCGGACCGCUGGCAACAAAGGAUAAGGGUUGCGCUCGUUGCGGGACUUAACCCAACAUUUCACAACACGAGCUGACGACAGCCAUGCAGCACCUGUCUCACGGUUCCCGAAGGCACAUUCUCAUCUCUGAAAACUUCCGUGGAUGUCAAGACCAGGUAAGGUUCUUCGCGUUGCAUCGAAUUAAACCACAUGCUCCACCGCUUGUGCGGGCCCCCGUCAAUUCAUUUGAGUUUUAACCUUGCGGCCGUACUCCCCAGGCGGUCUACUUAACGCGUUAGCUCCGGAAGCCACGCCUCAAGGGCACAACCUCCAAGUAGACAUCGUUUACGGCGUGGACUACCAGGGUAUCUAAUCCUGUUUGCUCCCCACGCUUUCGCACCUGAGCGUCAGUCUUUGUCCAGGGGGCCGCCUUCGCCACCGGUAUUCCUCCAGAUCUCUACGCAUUUCACCGCUACACCUGGAAUUCUNNNNNNNNNNNNNNNNNNNNCCUGGAAUUCUACCCCCCUCUACAAGACUCAAGCCUGCCAGUUUCGAAUGCAGUUCCCAGGUUGAGCCCGGGGAUUUCACAUCCGACUUGACAGACCGCCUGCGUGCGCUUUACGCCCAGUAAUUCCGAUUAACGCUUGCACCCUCCGUAUUACCGCGGCUGCUGGCACGGAGUUAGCCGGUGCUUCUUCUGCGGGUAACGUCAAUUGCUGCGGUUAUUAACCACAACACCUUCCUCCCCGCUGAAAGUACUUUACAACCCGAAGGCCUUCUUCAUACACGCGGCAUGGCUGCAUCAGGCUUGCGCCCAUUGUGCAAUAUUCCCCACUGCUGCCUCCCGUAGGAGUCUGGACCGUGUCUCAGUUCCAGUGUGGCUGGUCAUCCUCUCAGACCAGCUAGGGAUCGUCGCCUUGGUGAGCCGUUACCUCACCAACAAGCUAAUCCCAUCUGGGCACAUCUGAUGGCAAGAGGCCCGAAGGUCCCCCUCUUUGGUCUUGCGACGUUAUGCGGUAUUAGCCACCGUUUCCAGUAGUUAUCCCCCUCCAUCAGGCAGUUUCCCAGACAUUACUCACCCGUCCGCCACUCGUCAGCAAAGCAGCAAGCUGCUUCCUGUUACCGUUCGACUUGCAUGUGUUAGGCCUGCCGCCAGCGUUCAAUCUGAGCCAUGAUCAAACUCUUCAAUUUAAAAGUUUGAUGCUCAAUGAAUUAAACUUCGUAAUGAAUUACGUGUU
rnacentral:rRNA from 1 species